GACGAACGCUGGCGGCGUGCUUAACACAUGCAAGUCGAACGGAAAGGCCCUGCUUUUGUGGGGUGCUCGAGUGGCGAACGGGUGAGUAACACGUGAGUAACCUCCCCUUGACUGUGGGGUAACUUCAGGGAACUGGGGCUAAUACCGGAUAGGAGCUCCUGAUGCAUGGUGGUGGUUGGAAAGUUUCGGCGGUAGUGGAUGGACUCGCGGCUUAUCAGCUUGUUGGUGGGGUAGUGGCUUACCAAGGCUUUGACGGGUAGCCGGCCUGAGAGGGUGAACGGCCACAAUGGGACUGAGGUACGGCGCAGAAUGCUACGGGAGGCAGCAGGGGGGAAUAUUGCACAAUAGGCGGAAGCCUGAUGCAGCAACGCCGCGUGCGGGAUGACGGCUUUCGGGUUAUAAACCGAUUUCGCAUGUGACGAAGCGUGAGUGACGGUAAUGGGUAAAGAAGCACCGGCUAACUACGUG
rnacentral:rRNA from 1 species